CCGCGCCAACGCGCCGAAUACUCCCAGCCCGGCUCCCGCGGCCAGGAGGGCGGCCACUCCUGCGCCCCCAGCCGCGGCUGGAGGGAGCGGGGCGAGCCGGGGACCCUGACCCCCUCCGGGUUCCGCCCCUCGGACCCACUCGGGGUCACGGGCUCGCGUGAGCUCGGCCGCGCUGACAAGUGGACGGUCGGCUGGAGUCCGGGGUCCUGGAUAAACUUUUCGGGGCCCCCUUGAUUUGGGGGGUUCAGAGGGUAUGAUGGGGUUUCGGUGGCGGGACCUCUUCCCCCUCCCGCAGAGCAGGCCCUGUCUCUGGCCCCCCCACUGUCCCUCAUCUCUGACCUCUCGUCCCCUCUCGGUGUAGACAGACGAGGGGACAGCGGUGGGAACCCCCUUAGUGUAGAUAGACGAGGGGACCGCGGUGGGCCGGGGCCGGACCCCUGAGCGAGGCCCCCUCUGCGGGGCGCGCUGCGGAAACCUCGCCUUCGGGUGGGGGCGGCCUCCUCAUGCCGCCCUGGUCACCUGUGGCUCCCAUCACCUGUGGCUCCCCCUCUGCUAGGUCGCGGUAGGGAUCCACUGCCCUCCCCAGGUCUGGGGAUGGGGGGCGGUCACACCCACCCCCGGUCCACCUGUCCACCUUCGGGCUUCUGGGCAGCCCUGGCUGGCGUUUCAGACCCUUCAGGGUUCCUUGAGACUUGAAUCUAUUUUUCCACCUGUAUCUCAGAAACCCCUGGGGUGUGGCUCCUGGGGCGGGGUUUGAGGGAAGUAGGAGGAUGCACAAAUGUUCUGAGUCAGAACCCACCCUCUCCCAGCCCAGAGACCCCUGCAGCCUGCGUGGGUCCCCUUCCCCUGGCCUCUGCCCUUAGGAAUGAGGAGCCCAGGAGAAUGGUGACCGGGAGUGGAGGACAGUGACGGAAAUGAAGCCUUCCUGGGUGUGUCCCGUGGGGCGGGGGGGGGAUCAAGGCUCAAGACUAGAUUGAGUCUCAUCUGGUCAUCUGGUCCCCUGGCUGGCCACCUGGCUGGCAGCCCUGCCUGCUGAUCCCCGGGAGCCUCCCCAACCCCACCCCAAACCUGCGCCCUCAGCUAGGAACUAGAACCCUGAGGUCCCCUCCCGUGGAAAAUGUCAAGUGUCCUUUGGGUGUUUGACCCCACGGCUUGUCUCCUCGACCCAGAGGCUCCCUGAGUUGGAGCCUGUCUGCCCCAUUAUGUCAUGGUUGCCUCCUGGGCAUCCUGGAACCGGGACCUGGGCUCUCCUGCUUUCAUCUCCCUGACUUGCUCUGGCACCACAGCCUACACUUUGCCUCCAGACCUGCUAUUCCUGGCCCAGCGCCCGGACCCUGAGGCCAAGGACAGCGAUGAUGAUGAUGAUGUCACUGUCACUGUGGACCGAGACCGCUUCAUGGAUGAGUUCUUUGAACAGGUGGAGGAGAUUCGAGGCUUCAUUGACAAGAUCGCAGAGAACGUGGAGGAGGUGAAGCGGAAGCACAGUGCCAUCCUGGCCUCCCCCAACCCCGAUGAGAAGACGAAGGAGGAGCUGGAAGAACUCAUGUCCGACAUAAAGAAGACAGCAAACAAAGUUCGUUCCAAGUUAAAGAGCAUCGAGCAGUCCAUCGAGCAAGAGGAAGGCCUGAACCGCUCCUCUGCUGACCUGAGGAUCCGGAAGACACAGCACUCCACGCUGUCCAGAAAGUUUGUGGAGGUCAUGUCGGAGUACAACGCCACGCAGUCCGACUACCGCGAGCGCUGCAAGGGCCGUAUCCAGAGGCAGCUGGAGAUCACCGGCAGGACCACGACCAGUGAGGAGCUGGAAGACAUGCUGGAGAGUGGGAACCCCGCCAUCUUUGCCUCUGGGAUCAUCAUGGACUCCAGCAUCUCGAAGCAGGCUCUGAGUGAAAUUGAGACGCGGCACAGCGAGAUCAUCAAGCUGGAGAACAGCAUCCGUGAGCUGCACGACAUGUUCAUGGACAUGGCCAUGCUUGUGGAGAGCCAGGGUGUUUUCCUGAAGUCCUGCCCCGAGCCCCAACCCAACCCUGAGGAGGGGGCCCUCUGGAGCUCGGGUGCCCCUGGCCCCACAGGGGGAGAUGAUUGACAGGAUCGAGUACAACGUGGAACACGCGGUAGACUACGUGGAAAGGGCUGUGUCUGACACCAAGAAAGCCGUCAAGUACCAGAGCAAGGCGCGCCGGAAGAAAAUCAUGAUCAUCAUCUGCUGUGUGAUCCUGGGCAUCGUCAUCGCCUCCACUGUCGGGGGCAUCUUCGCCUAGAAGCCACCCAAACUGCCACUCCACUCCGGGUGGGCCACUCUGAGGAGGCCCUGGCUGCUGCUACUUGGCUGGGCUGCCCUCCCAACCCCCGCCUCUGGCUCAGAGCACCCUCCCUCCUGGCCCCCAUGCUCCCUUCUCUGCCAUGGGCCCUCUGUCCCCGCCCCGUGUUGUGUGCAUGAUCUUUGUGUGCGUCUGUAUGGAAGAGGCAGAGGGAGGCAGCCAGCGGGGCGGGACGCAGUGUGCGCAGCGAGGGGCAGACCCAGGCAGGGCCGCCAGGGUGACACAGGCCAUCCUUGCCUUCAGUAACUCGGUGGGCCUGGGUUCUCCUCUUCCCUGGGGACCCUAACCUUGCCUCCAACUGACCUGCCCUGUCCUCUGGCCUCUCCAGCUGUCCCCACAAGCAGAGCCCUGAGGGGUGGGGACCAGCUGGCCACAUGGUGCUGCUUUUCAGGUUAGGGGAGAGGUGGCCAUGAGGGACAGCCCAGCUCUGAGCCUCAAUCGCUGAUCACUGCCAGGGAGACUCAGGCUGCCAUGGCUCCAGGCUCCCUCCCCUGCCUAGGGGCAAAGUCCAUCGGGUCCUGGGCCUCAGCUUCCCUUCUGACAUUCCUCCAGCCCCAGGAGCAACCCCUUAGGCUGGGCCUGACCCCAGGUGUCCCUCUGGAAGGGGCUGGUUGGUGCCCCAUCUCCAGCCACCCCAGCAGCCAGGGAGGCAGAGCAGGCUGCUGUCAGGCCCUCGAGCCAGCGUUGCAUGUUUGGGAUGGUGGCCCCUGCUGUCUUGCGCUCUGGGAAGUCAGAUGUCAUUUCAGGCCUGCAGUCUCAUCCUGCCCUUGCCAUCCCCCAUCAACGUGCCACGUGGGUGUCAGGUGUCCCGGAUGCACUAUUCGGCAGCCAGCCAGGGAGGGCUACCUCGUCCUCCUCACCACCUUGGGGCUUCUCAUGGGAAAUGUGCCCCCGCCCCAGCACCCCCUCCCUCGUGGACAGGCAGGGAGAUGCAUGCGAGUGCAUGCAGCAGGGGAUGGGGCCGUGUCCGUGUGCCCCACCCUCCCUCGGCUUUACUCCUGCCCAGUGACUGUGACCGUCCGUGUUGCCUUCUUGAACAGCGAUUCCCCCUAACCCCUUCACCAAAGGUCUUGGUACAACCAGCUGCCCAUUUUGUGAAAUUUUUAUGUAGAAUAAACAUUUGUAUCUGUA